ensembl:lncRNA
GUCAUGAUAUAUCAAAAAGUAAAAAUACUUCACCUUCACACCUGUGUUACAGUGUAUAAUAAUCAGCACAUUUGUCUUUUUGUCACAUUUGCAUCAUGGUGGAGAUAUUUACAGGCUGAAGAGAGCUUCUGCACUGACCUUCUUUUUUAAAAAAUCUAAAUGUUAAUAAUUAUUUUGCCCUUUACAGUGUGCUCUUGAUGGGCUCAGAUCAGCAAAAAGAUAAAAAUAACUGGGACUUUUGCCUUUCAUUUAGGCAUUUUUCACGUUUAUGUUCCUGUUGGGUUCCUGUUUUUCCUUAUUUGGUCAUGUUUCUGUGUUCCCUGAAUAGUUCAUUAGUCUCCACCUGUGUUAAUUAAUCUUCUCUUUAGUUCCCUUUGUUUGGUUCUUGUUUAUAAGUCCUGAGUUUUCCCUGAGUCUUUGUCCGUUCUCUUUCAUGUUAAGCUGCAUUAUCACCGUCUCCUAGUUCCUGUGGUUUUAAUUAAAGUGUUCCGUGUUUGAAUCGCACUCUGAUUCUCCAGUCCCUUUCCUGAUACACAUUGUAUGCUGACAGAAGAGCAGACCAAACAAGAUGACUGAAGCUGAGGAUCGGCUGUGGUGCCUGCAACAGGGUGGCUGGCCUUUGCAGAGAGCUCACCUGGGGGCCAAAGUUAAAAUCCACAUCACUCCCACUAUCUCCAGCCCCAAGAUUGGUCCCAGUCCUCCACCCAGAAAUGCCAGCCGAUCCAUUGUCGAGCCCGCUGUCCGAUCCACCAUGAUGUCUGGACCCAACAGGAACAUAAAUGUGACAUUUCACCCCAGGAGAAAACAGCAGAAAGAGAUUGGCAGUGUGCUCUCAGACUUUUGAACCUCACAGUAGACAGAUGAACAGUGCUUGAAUGUGAGUCAGUGGCCAUUUCUCAUAAAUGAGAAAAUCUUUUCUGUUGCUGGCUCCUCAUCAGCAAUAGUGUCUUUUGAACUGUUUUAUUUACCCACCUUCAUGUCAUUCCAAACCUGAAUGAUUUUCUUUCUUGUGGUACAUAAGAUAUUUUGAGAAGAUAAGACACCGAGAAAUGUCUUAGUGUGUUUUUUCUUCUUCUUGAAAGUCAAAGGUCACCAAAACUGUCUGGUCACCAACAUUCUUCAAAAUAUUUUCUUUUGUGAUCUACUGGUUUGGAAAGACAUAAUGGCAUCUUGAUACUAUGAUUUAGCAAUAUAGAGAAAUAGACUUCCAAUAACAAAACAGAAUAGGAAGACUGAAGAAAUCUAGUCAUCCUGACCAAUGAACAUUCUGUCCAUGAGCUGCUUUUGAGGAGAGUGUUUGGAAGAACGGACACAGGUAAUGUGUGGGCUGAGAGGACAGCGGCUCCCUUAGGGGCUUUUCUGACCAGAUUUGACUGUCCCUCUGACAGCUGCCCUGAGGGAUAAAAAGCACCCAUGUUACAUUUUGAUUUUUAGAGCUGUUAAGUGACUUCAAUAAUAUAUCAAAACUUUUAUAAUAUAGAUAACAUUUUGCUUACUAGAAAGUUUCCUAAAUAAGUUUAUCAUUCAAAAAAACCAUAACAACAAUAUAAUUGUAUCCAUGGUCAUAAGUGCACUUUCAGUCACUGUCAGAGGAAUCAUUUUCUUCAUUAACAGCAAUUCAUCUUAAUCGUUUCAUAAUAUUAGAUUUAAAUCAGCAUUAGCCACAGAGACAACCACGACAACCACAUAUCCUAAUUGCCCCUUUACAUAACCAACCACAGCUUUCAUAAAGAGAAGUAAUUACCCAUGCUCAUUGAGUAUCCUCAUGUUCUCUGUGUUUCUGUUCACUGACUACUGUGAGGCAGUGGAUGUGGCUGUAAUCUGUCAUCUAGUGAGGCAGUGCGUAGAUAUGCUGAUGUACAUCAGUUGUUUCGAGUAGAUGGUGUUCUUUUCUUGCCCCCCCACAGAUGAUGUUUUGGCCUUUGGAUGAGCUGGAGAAAUCCUAGACAUACAUUUCCUGUGUGGUUUAGCAGUCUGUAACCAUAAAAACUCAAGCCAUAUAUAUGUCAUAUGGAAUGGAAUACGUUCCAGGGAGUGUGCCAGGCACAUAAAGAAUCACAAAUUACUACACUUAGAAUGUAAUGGAAAAUUUUUUUUUUACUAAUAAUGAAUAACAUUGAAAAUGGCAUGCAUAUGAUUAGGAAUUAACAGCACAACUAAUACAUUUUUAGUAUCUUUUUGUUUUUAAUGUCAUUCAAAUAUC